CCAUGCAAGUCGAACGAUGAACCGGUGCUUGCACUGGGGAUUAGUGGCGAACGGGUGAGUAACACGUGAGUAACCUGCCCUUAACUCUGGGAUAAGCCUUGGAAACGAGGUCUAAUACUGGAUAUUGACUUUUCCUCGCAUGGGGAUUGGUUGAAAGAUUUAUUGGUUUUGGAUGGACUCGCGGCCUAUCAGCUUGUUGGUGAGGUAAUGGCUCACCAAGGCGACGACGGGUAGCCGGCCUGAGAGGGUGACCGGCCACACUGGGACUGAGACACGGCCCAGACUCCUACGGGAGGCAGCAGUGGGGAAUAUUGCACAAUGGGCGAAAGCCUGAUGCAGCGACGCCGCGUGAGGGAUGACGGCCUUCGGGUUGUAAACCUCUUUCAGUAGGGAACAAGGCCAGACGUUGUCUGGUUGAGGGUACUUGCAGAAGAAGCGCCGGCUAACUACGUGCCAGCAGCCGCGGUAAUACGUAGGGCGCAAGCGUUAUCCGGAAUUAUUGGGCGUAAAGAGCUCGUAGGCGGUUUGUCGCGUCUGCCGUGAAAGUCCGGGGCUCAACUCCGGAUCUGCGGUGGGUACGGGCAGACUAGAGUGAUGUAGGGGAGACUGGAAUUCCUGGUGUAGCGGUGAAAUGCGCAGAUAUCAGGAGGAACACCGAUGGCGAAGGCAGGUCUCUGGGCAUUAACUGACGCUGAGGAGCGAAAGCAUGGGGAGCGAACAGGAUUAGAUACCCUGGUAGUCCAUGCCGUAAACGUUGGGCACUAGGUGUGGGGGACAUUCCACGUUUUCCGCGCCGUAGCUAACGCAUUAAGUGCCCCGCCUGGGGAGUACGGCCGCAAGGCUAAAACUCAAAGGAAUUGACGGGGGCCCGCACAAGCGGCGGAGCAUGCGGAUUAAUUCGAUGCAACGCGAAGAACCUUACCAAGGCUUGACAUGAACUGGAAACGCUUGGAAACAAGUGCCCCGCUUGCGGUCGGUUUACAGGUGGUGCAUGGUUGUCGUCAGCUC
rnacentral:rRNA from 1 species